UACGGAGGGUGCAAGCGUUAUUCGGAAUGACUGGGCGUAAAGCGCGCGUAGGCGGUUAGCUAAGUCUGAUGUGAAAUCCCUGGACUCAAUCUAGGACCUGCAUUGGAUACUGGCUAGCUAGAGUGUAGGAGAGGAGAGCGGAAUUCCUGGUGUAGAGGUGAAAUUCGUAGAUAUCAGGAGGAACAACAGCGGCGAAGGCGGCUCUCUGGACUAUUACUGACGCUGAGGUGCGAAAGCGUGGGGAGCAAAC
rnacentral:rRNA from 1 species